rnacentral:rRNA from 1 species
GACAACCUACGGGAGGCAGCAGUAGGGAAUCUUCCACAAUGGGCGAAAGCCUGAUGGAGCAACGCCGCGUGGGUGAAGAAGGUCUUCGGAUCGUAAAACCCUGUUGUUAGAGAAGAAAGUGCGUGAGAGUAACUGUUCACGUUUCGACGGUAUCUAACCAGAAAGCCACGGCUAACUACGUGCCAGCAGCCGCGGUAAUACGUAGGUGGCAAGCGUUAUCUGGAUUUAUUGGGCGUAAAGGGAACGCAGGCGGUAUUUUAAGUCUGAUGUGAAAGCCUUAGGCUUAACCGGAGUAGUGCAUUGGG